ACAGGGCCUGAUCCAAAGCUCACUGAAGUCAAUGGAAAAACUCCCAUUGACUUUAAUAGGCUUUGGAUCAGGCCCUUAGU
rnacentral:pre_miRNA from 1 species